rnacentral:rRNA from 1 species
AUGGCAGAAGCACGUAACGGCGCCGGCGACUCAGAAGUGGAAACAAGCAACGGCGUAGGUGUCUCAGAAGCGGCGACUCAAGGCCACGACGACAGCUCGAGGCGUCGUUGUCACGCCGGUGCAGAGGCGCCGGCGAGGCGGCGGGUUGAAGUAGAGCCCAGCUGUGGUGAUGUAGGCGACAGGGUGGCUCAAGGUGAGGCCAAGUGCGGCGCGCGGAGGGGCAGCAACAGGCGGCUUGCGGGCGUGACCUGGCCGAGCGCGACCCAGCGGGGCUGCUCAGAGGCAAAGGCAACACUCGGAAGCGGCCAGCCGAGGCCACAUCGGAGGCUCAGCGCAAGGUGA